UACGUAGGUGGCAAGCGUUGUCCGGAUUUACUGGGCGUAAAGCGCGCGCAGGCGGACCGGAUCAGUCCGGGGUGAAAUCUCACGGCUCAACCGUGAGAGGUCCCUGGAUACUGCUGGUCUUGAGGGGCUCAGAGGAGAGUGGAAUUCCGGGUGUAGUGGUGGAAUGCGUAGAUAUCCGGAGGAACACCAGUGGCGAAAGCGGCUCUCUGGGGG
rnacentral:rRNA from 1 species